rnacentral:rRNA from 1 species
CCUACGGGUGGCAGCAGUGAGGAAUAUUGGUCAAUGGGCGUAAGCCUGAACCAGCCAAGUCGCGUGAGGGAUGAAGGUUCUAUGGAUCGUAAACCUCUUUUAUAAGGGAAUAAAGUGUGGGACGUGUCCUAUUUUGUAUGUACCUUAUGAAUAAGGAUCGGCUAACUCCGUGCCAGCAGCCGCGGUAAUACGGAGGAUGCGAGCGUUAUCCGGAUUUAUUGGGUUUAAAGGGUGCGUAGGCGGCCUUGUAAGUCAGCGGUGAAAGUCUGUGGCUCAACCCUGGAAUUGCCGUUGAAACUGGGGGGCUUGAGUGUGUGUGAGGCAGGCGGAAUGCGUGGUGUAGCGGUGAAAUGCUUAGAUAUCACGCAGAACCCCGAUUGCGAAGGCAGCCUGCCGAGCCAUGACUGACGCUGAUGCACGAAAGCGUGGGGAUCAAACAGGAUUAGAUACCCGAGUAGUC